rnacentral:rRNA from 11 species
GGUUGACCUCGGAUCAGGUAGGGAUACCCGCUGAACUUAAGCAUAUCAAUAAGC